GAACUCUGGUAUUGAUUGGUGCUUGCAUCAUGAUUUACAUUUGCGUGAGUGGCGAACUGGUGAGUAACACGUGGGAAACCUGCCCAGAAGCGGGGGAUAACACCUGGAAACAGAUGCUAAUACCGCAUAAUAACUUGGACCGCAUGGUCCGAGCUUGAAAGAUGGCUUCGGCUAUCACUUUUGGAUGGUCCCGCGGCGUAUUAGCUAGAUGGUGGGGUAACGGCUCACCAUGGCAAUGAUACGUAGCCGACCUGAGAGGGUAAUCGGCCACAUUGGGACUGAGACACGGCCCAAACUCCUACGGGAGGCAGCAGUAGGGAAUCUUCCACAAUGGACGAAAGUCUGAUGGAGCAACGCCGCGUGAGUGAAGAAGGGUUUCGGCUCGUAAAACUCUGUUGUUAAAGAAGAACAUAUCUGAGAGUAACUGUUCAGGUAUUGACGGUAUUUAACCAGAAAGCCACGGCUAACUACGUGCCAGCAGCCGCGGUAAUACGUAGGUGGCAAGCGUUGUCCGGAUUUAUUGGGCGUAAAGCGAGCGCAGGCGGUUUUUUAAGUCUGAUGUGAAAGCCUUCGGCUCAACCGAAGAAGUGCAUCGGAAACUGGGAAACUUGAGUGCAGAAGAGGACAGUGGAACUCCAUGUGUAGCGGUGAAAUGCGUAGAUAUAUGGAAGAACACCAGUGGCGAAGGCGGCUGUCUGGUCUGUAACUGACGCUGAGGCUCGAAAGUAUGGGUAGCAAACAGGAUUAGAUACCCUGGUAGUCCAUACCGUAAACGAUGAAUGCUAAGUGUUGGAGGGUUUCCGCCCUUCAGUGCUGCAGCUAACGCAUUAAGCAUUC
rnacentral:rRNA from 1 species